rnacentral:rRNA from 1 species
UACGAAGGGGGCUAGCGUUGCUCGGAAUCACUGGGCGUAAAGCGCACGUAGGCGGCUUUUUAAGUCAGGGGUGAAAUCCUGGAGCUCAACUCCAGAACUGCCUUCGAUACUGGCGACCUUGAGUCCGGGAGAGGUGAGUGGAACUCCGAGUGUAGAGGUGAAAUUCGUAGAUAUUCGGAAGAACACCGGUGGCGAAAGCGUUCUGCUAGACCUGUACUGACACUGAGGGACGAAAGCUAGGGGAGCGAAUGGG